AUAACGUUUGGAGCCGAGCACAUUAUACUGCGACUCAAGGAAGGGACUCCAUUCGAGACUUGUUGUUGUUAUCCUGAGCUAGCUGUCAACCAGAAAGCCACCUGUUUAAACCUAACGCUAAACGUCGAAAUGUCUUCAGACUUUGAAUCCUACGAGCAGGACUUUGGAACAAUUACAGCAGAAGUAACCAACAAAAUUGGCAGGAUUCCCAAACUUAGUGGAGAGGAGAAGACACAGCUGGUUCUAAAUGUCGACAAACAGCUUGAAGAAGUCAGAGAGUUGCUGGAGCAGAUGGACCUGGAGGUGCGGGAGAUCCCCAUCCAGAGCCGUGCCAUGUACAACGGCAGACUGAAGAGCUACAAACAAGAGAUAGACAAGCUUGAGAAAGACUUUAAAAGGUCACGUAUUGCCUACAGUGAUGAGGUGCGCAACGAGCUCCUGGGGGAUGACGCCGGCUCCUCGGAGAACCAGUUGAUAAAGUUACGCGAAGAGAGAGCGCAUCUGUUGGACAACACAGAGAAGCUGGAAAGGUCAUCACGGAGACUGGAGGCCGGCUACCAGAUAGCCGUAGAAACUGAACAAGUGGGUCAGGAGAUUCUUUCCAACCUGCACAGUGACCGUGAGAAGAUCCAAAGAGCCAGAGAACGGCUGAGAGAAACGGACGCCAACCUGGGCAAGAGUUCUCGCAUCCUUACCGGCAUGCUGAGAAGUCAGAAUAUUGCUUCCCUCCACUGCCACGCCACAUCCCCCUCCCUCUCUCCUAACGGUAAACGUUAAGAUCCAGGAGUGGAUCAAUGACUGUUAUCCUUUGAUGUGCUAGGACGCAUUACGAGCGGAUCAUCCAGAAUCGUGUCCUGGUCUUCAUCCUCGGAGCCAUCAUCCUUCUCACCAUCAUCCUGGCAAUCUAUUUCAAUGUGCGGGGCCACUGAUCUCCCCUCUACACACAUACACGCACACCCGCUCCUCCCCUGACACAAAUACAAACACACACAUACGUGUGAUUAAUAGCGACAAAAGCGUUGUUCUGCUGUAAUUAGGACAAAUGGUCCCCAUGAAUCACUGUUUCCAACGCCUGACAGGGAGCUUUUUUCCAUCUUUCUCCUCUCCUGUCUGCUGUCUCUUUCUCUCUUUUUGUCCCUCUUUUCUUUCCACUUUGCGCUUCCCUUUCUCUUUCUUUCUUUCUCUUUCUUCUUCUUCUUCUUUCUUUUCUCGUCUCAGUUUUGUUCUCUCAGGCUUUGUCAGGCUCUCUCAUACAUCUCCAGGGACAAAAGUAGAGGGAGAUGUUUUUAUGAUAGUUAAUAUUUUCAUGGUGUUGUCCUCAGUGUGGUUCUGGAGCCCUUCCUGUCCCAAAGGGAACAAGGGCUGUUGUUUUUUUUGUAAUUCAAAGCAGAUUCAGAUAUGUAGAUUAUGAUUUCCUUGUGAUGGAGGUGGGUCAAGUGUUAUUCAGGAUGAGUGUGCAUGCAUGAGAAACAGAGACAAAGACAGGUAUAAGAGUGCACACAUGUACUGUAUGUUCGCAUGUGCAUGAGUGACAGUCACGGAUUGGGGCCCCACACUGUUUGUUAUUAACACCAACAGUAGAGACACACGCUGUAGUAUGUAUGGGUUUCAGUAACUAAAUGAUUCAGAUGGUCUUCAUGUAGCCAUACAAAGCACAGAGGACAGUGCCUUCAGAUAAGAUAUGCUGUUCACACUCAUUUCUUUAAAAAUCUCAGCAGAGCCCAAAAUAGACAGAGUGGCACAGCCUGGAAAAGAGAGCACGCACAUGAAAAGGUUUAGGUCAGUUCAACUUCAGUUCAGCGUAUCAAGGUGAAAGGUUUGUUUGUUUUUGAUUACUGCAUUCAGGAAAGGACAUAUGAACAUUUCAACAAAGUUUUUGAGAUUGAGAAAAUAAAAUAAAAAAUCUACAGAUUUUAUGUUUUCAAUGCAAAAGGGAACUGACCCCAACCUUGGCACACACAAUACAUAAAUACAAUGCAGAGAACGGUUUAUUCACACAUUAUGACUAGCUUUAAAAUCCACAUUUGGUAUAAUCCCCCUGCACCUCCCAAACACAGAUUUUAACAACUCAUUCCUGCAAAGUUUUUAAUGUAUCUAUCAUUGUGGAAAAUUGUAGGCUAUAUGUACUAACAUUUAAAGCUACAUCAUGUAUAGUGUUUUUCUCUCAAUACAAGUAAUUCUGUUACUAUUUAUUUAUAAAUGCAACUAAUGUUUCUGUGUUAGAACUGUAAAUUUUAUGACGUUCAAAAGUAUGCAGAAUUAACAUUAACCACAUGUUUUCUUGAUUUUUGGGUGUUCAGUGAUUAGACUGUAAAAUGCAGACUGCACACCUGGACCAACUGAAAUGUGUGGAUUUGUGGAGGUUGUUUUUUUCUUCUUCUGUUCUUAUAAAUGGAUCUAGCUUGUUUUAGAACUGGCACUUUUGUUCUAUAUUUUUCUUGUCAAGUUCUAAAGAUUGUGAUGCAGUCCCUGUUUCUGUGUUUAUCUGUACGCUGACUUAUGAUGUGAUACAUUGAAGAAGAAAAAAACGUGUGUGUGAGUUUACUGCUGUUUAAUUCUUCAGGGGAAAGCCAUUCUUCAGGGGGUCUUGGAAAAUCUAAAUUUAAGAGCAUAUUUGGAGAAUUUUCUGAUGUUAAGAUACAUGAAGGUAAAGCUGUACACACACACACACACACACACACACACACAGUGGAGUAUUGGAGUGUGCAUGGGUCUCCUGUGGUCGGUGUGGUGGUUCCCAGCGAGGACAUUUACUAUUCUGUUUCAGAGCCACAGUCUUCAUUUUGGAAGAUGCGGGGGAGUCGGGGUGGUGAGCCCCCAAACACCUCCCGACAACCACCCUUUCACAGGCCCUCACUAGCUGCAGCGCCGCCGUCUGCUUCAAAGCCUCAAAUUAAUGGCCAACAAAAUAGUGUGCCUCUGACCAUCCCAUGCGGGGCCGACCCACCAAGACUUAUCAUUAAAGAGCAGGAAUAAUGAAAAAAGGACGGAAGCAAAGAGGAGUGAGAAGGAAGGAAGUGAACAAGGUAGCAUGGAGGUAGGGGGUGGGGGGUGGGGGGGGGGGGUGAAAUCCCUGGCAGUUUGACAAACCUCAUCUGGUAAUGACCCUCAGUGAUGUUUUUUCACCCAGUGCCCUGUGUGUGUGUGUGUGCGUCUGUCUGCAUGUGCAGCCUACCUACGUGCCAAUGUGCUCUCUUCUCCUCUCUGUUUCUGUCUUUCUCUCCCUCCCCAUCCCCUCCUGCUCCCCCCUUCUCUCUACCUCUCCUGCUACCUUUUCUCCUCUUCCCAGUCCCCCCCCCUCCCAGCCUGUCAGAUGAGCGGAGCAGUAGCUAGCGAGUGAGCGGUGGAAGGCAGCGUGGCGGCGGCUUCUAUUUGAAGUUGUAAUGGUGUCAAAAAGUCAGGGCUGACUGACAGACGUCAGUCCCACAGGGCCUCAUUAAAAACAGACCCACUUGACAAGGAAAUAAUUGAGCGCCGGCGACAACUCGGGGGCCCCUCCACGUUUUAAGAUGUUUUUAUUUUCUUUUCAUUAUUAGCGCUGAGCUAUUAUGUUCAUUAAGAAAUGGCAUUAAAACAAGUUUUUAAAAGCGGGGAAAUGGAGGGAGGGGCAGAGGGAAGGCAGGAUGCAUGGAGGUGGGAAGAUAACGAUUUGUUUAGAGCCCCCGUACUGUUUUAUUAUUUAAACAGGAACACUGUCAUGUGAUAUCUUGGAAGAUGUUGGCUAUCAUCUGCCACUCCAUUUUUUCUUCUCUUUUUCUCCUUUUUUCCUCUUCACUCAUCCCUCGCUUCCCCCCAGCUUUUAUCUUCCUUCGCUGUCCAUCUCUCUCCCUCUCUUCAUCCCUUUCUUUCUCUCCCUCUGAGCGGCGGGUGUCGUUGGAAUAUGAACUAGAUUAUUCAUCACUACCCCCCACGCCCUACUACCACCACCACCACCCCCCUCCCUCCCCCAUUCGCUGAUUUGGUUUCCGACAAGCGUCUCACCGCAGAAGGCUGAGGAUGAAAACUUGUCAAAAAUAGGUUAUAUCUUAUUCCAAGGGGCAACAAUAGGAGCAGGUACAGACACCUUUUAAUAUUUAAUUUAGGUGGGUGUUAACCCUCCUUAAGUGAUUGGAGCUCUGUCUUCCAUAGAGACACGGGGGAAGCGAGCAAGUGGGGAGAGCAAUUAAUUAUUUGAUGUCUGAAAAGUGAUUUUGAAGCUCUCCCUGCCUUCUGUUUGCCACAGAGAGGAGCUGGUCUUUGGGUGUCCCUGUUCAUUUUCUACACCAACCACGUCCUCAGCAUGGCUUUCCUGCGAGAGCUGAAACAUUACCGCUCAAAUCACAUUCAGAUCACCGCUCCACUGUGCCUCGCUUAAUACGCUAAUGAAAACACGAGUGAUCAUAUAGCCAUGGUUUUGGUCUCUUGUAUCAUCAGCGGAAAUUAUUUUCCAGAGGAAUUAUCUUCUAGACCUCCAUCUUGCGUCAGUGUGUCUCGCUAACAUCCCUUGUGCCCAGCUCAGCCAGUCAUUCCUGUUCUCCCGGGUCGUUUAUAGGUUGACAUGAAAGUUUUUUUUUAAGGGAGGUUCCUCAAGGAACGUCUGAAACGCAACACCAUUACAAAAAGCGUGAUGUUUGUCGUUCGUCAGCCAUUUAAGACGACAAGGGAUUGUGACAAGCGCCGUUUGAGCUGUCUGUCCCCUGGCGAAGGGUGGGCCUUAAACGGGAUAAACAGCUCCAGUGGUAGGAUCGCAAUGGGAGGGUGGGCGCUUCAUCUCCAGCAGUGUCCAUGAUGCUGCCGGCCCCCAACCAAACACACACACACACACACACUUACGCAUUAAAGGAGGCCCUGCAACAACCGCCACCCAAGAAAAACCCACAAUGGCACUGUUUGAGAACAACAAUGAAUCUUCUACUGUUUGAUUUAGCACCCAUACAAAGACGCACAUGCACUGCUGCAUGUGCCCCCCCCCCCCUCCCCAAGCACACAUGCUCUAGUGUACAACUGUUAAAAGAGGAGCCAUGUUCUCCGUUUGUACACGCCACCAGUCCUAGAAGAAUGGCUUUCUUUCUCUCCUCUGCCCUUUAUCUGUCUUUUCUUUGGCCCCCAUCAGCGCUGUCGACCAUUUUAAUGGUGUUUGUGCUCGUAAAAAAAUUACAAUGACCCCCCAUUAUCUGAGGAAGUCACAGGGGCUGCAGCCGUGCAUAGCCAACAUAGAUGUUUGUGUGCAUGUGGAUGUUUCCCCCUGUGGUUGAGAGGGAGCUGGAGGGCUUGGUGUAAAAGGCUAUGUUGGAUUGUCUUUAUGAAUGACUAUCUUUUAUCUGUUCGCGUCCAUCCGUAAUGCGGUAUGACUCAUUUCUCCUGUCGACCAGGAUCUUCAGUUCGUUUAGUUUCCUACAGACUGAGCGGUUCCCGAAACUAUGAAGAUGACUUGUGAUCUCUUGUCAGUGUUGUUUAACAUCUGUCAUUAUAGCAGUUCUGAAUCCCA